rnacentral:lncRNA from 1 species
AAACUACUGGUGUCAAAUCACUGCUGUGAAAUCAGGUACAGUAGCCUAUAGCCACGGAGCAGGCGUGUGCACAGGAUUUCUGUAACUGGUGACGACUCUGAAGCGACUGUGGCCAUGUUUCCUCUACUGAUCCAAAUCCUGGCAGCGGUUUAUAACGAGGCAAAGCUCUUGAAGCUACGCAAGAACCCGGUGCUGCUUGUGGCUUUUGGGACUGUACAGAUCAUGAUCGGCCUGUUCAUCAUUGGACUGAAACUGGUGGCAGGAAAUAAUGGGUUAUCCUAUCAAGGAGCUGUUUACAUCUUUGGUGCUCUGUACAUCACAUGUGGAAUUGUUCCAUUAUUGUUGCAUCCCUCUAUCUGGUGGGUUGCCUUCACUGCCUUUAUGAACUUGGUCACUGUGGCCUGGACCACUGUUGGAAUUAUAUUUUAUGUCGUGGCGUUGAGCUCCACGGCCCAGGUGUUUUUGAAUCGCUUGGACAUUUUUUCCAUCGUCCUGACUGUUGUUCAGAUGUGCAUCUGCAUUAGUUUGGCUGUGAUUUGCAUCAGGGAUAUGAUCCGCAGGGAGAAAGAAGAGCAGGUUGAAGAAGAUUCUGAGGCGCCAAAGGAAGCCAUGACCAGCCCAUUGCUUAACUAAUGAGUGCCUAAAAGUGAGAUAUCACUACGUUCUGCAGAUGCUCCUGCUUUAAUGCCUUCAAGCCGAAAUGUUUCCACAGAACAUCACAGUGACUUUUGUCCAUGUGUAAAUCUGGAUUCACGGUUUCUCUGCUUCUGAGUGUGUUGCUGGUUUGUAUUCGCUGUACUUUUGAUGUUCAGAAAUAACAUCAGAAAUAAACUCAUCCACUUCAGCUCUACUGGGUUAGAG